CCUUCGGGAACCGUGAGACAGGUGCUGCAUGGCUGUCGUCAGCUCGUGUUGUGAAAUGUUGGGUUAAGUCCCGCAACGAGCGCAACCCUUAUCCUUUGUUGCCAGCGGUCCGGCCGGGAACUCAAAGGAGACUGCCAGUGAUAAACUGGAGGAAGGUGGGGAUGACGUCAAGUCAUCAUGGCCCUUACGACCAGGGCUACACACGUGCUACAAUGGCGCAUACAAAGAGAAGCGACCUCGCGAGAGCAAGCGGACCUCAUAAAGUGCGUCGUAGUCCGGAUUGGAGUCUGCAACUCGACUCCAUGAAGUCGGAAUCGCUAGUAAUCGUGGAUCAGAAUGCCACGGUGAAUACGUUCCCGGGCCUUGUACACACCGCCCGUCACACCAUGGGAGUGGGUUGCAAAAGAAGUAGGUAGCUUAACCUUCGGGAGGGCGCUUACCACUUUGUGAUUCAUGACUGGGGUGAAGUCGUAACAAGGUAACCGUAGGGGAACCUGCGGUUGGAUCAC
rnacentral:rRNA from 2 species